CUGAGUCGUCAACACGAGUUGUUGCUGGUCCUCAAACAGGGGACAUGUGCACGCUCUGUUUACACAUCCACUCACACCUGUGCACCCACUGUAGUUCUAUGGUCUGGGGGGCUCUGCCUCCCUUCUGUGGUUCUGCAUCUUUACAUACACACUGUAACAAAGUCUUAUGGAAUGUACAUCGCGUUUAACGCAAUAUAAUA
rnacentral:misc_RNA from 2 species